rnacentral:rRNA from 1 species
AACGAACGCUGGCGGCAGGCCUAACACAUGCAAGUCGAGCGCCCACUUUGUGGGAGCGGCGCACGGGUGAGUAACGCGUGGGAAUGUACCCUUUAGUACGGAAUAGCCUCGGGAAACUGGGAUUAAUACCGUAUACGCCCUUCGGGGGAAAGAUUUAUCGCUAAAGGAUCAGCCCGCGUGACAUUAGCUAGUUGGUAAGGUAAUGGCUUACCAAGGCAACGAUGUCUAGCUGGUCUGAGAGGAUGAUCAGCCACACUGGAACUGAGACACGGUCCAGACUCCUACGGGAGGCAGCAGUGAGGAAUAUUGGCAAUGGGCGAAAGCCUGACCCAGCCAUGCCGCGUGUGUGAUGAAGGCCCUAGGGUUGUAAAGCACUUUCAUUGGUGAAGAUAAUGACGGUAACCAAAGAAGAAGCCCCCGGCUAAACUUCGUGCCAGCAGCCGCGGUAAU